AUGCAAGUCGAACGAACUCUGGUAUUGAUUGGUGCUUGCAUCAUGAUUUACAUUUGAGUGAGUGGCGAACUGGUGAGUAACACGUGGGAAACCUGCCCAGAAGCGGGGGAUAACACCUGGAAACAGAUGCUAAUACCGCAUAACAACUUGGACCGCAUGGUCCGAGCUUGAAAGAUGGCUUCGGCUAUCACUUUUGGAUGGUCCCGCGGCGUAUUAGCUAGAUGGUGGGGUAACGGCUCACCAUGGCAAUGAUACGUAGCCGACCUGAGAGGGUAAUCGGCCACAUUGGGACUGAGACACGGCCCAAACUCCUACGGGAGGCAGCAGUAGGGAAUCUUCCACAAUGGACGAAAGUCUGAUGGAGCAACGCCGCGUGAGUGAAGAAGGGUUUCGGCUCGUAAAACUCUGUUGUUAAAGAAGAACAUAUCUGAGAGUAACUGUUCAGGUAUUGACGGUAUUUAACCAGAAAGCCACGGCUAACUACGUGCCAGCAGCCGCGGUAAUACGUAGGUGGCAAGCGUUGUCCGGAUUUAUUGGGCGUAAAGCGAGCGCAGGCGGUUUUUUAAGUCUGAUGUGAAAGCCUUCGGCUCAACCGAAGAAGUGCAUCGGAAACUGGGAAACUUGAGUGCAGAAGAGGACAGUGGAACUCCAUGUGUAGCGGUGAAAUGCGUAGAUAUAUGGAAGAACACCAGUGGCGAAGGCGGCUGUCUGGUCUGUAACUGACGCUGAGGCUCGAAAGUAUGGGUAGCAAACAGGAUUAGAUACCCUGGUAGUCCAUACCGUAAACGAUGAAUGCUAAGUGUUGGAGGGUUUCCGCCCUUCAGUGCUGCAGCUAACGCAUUAAGCAUUCCGCCUGGGGAGUACGGCCGCAAGGCUGAAACUCAAAGGAAUUGACGGGGGCCCGCACAAGCGGUGGAGCAUGUGGUUUAAUUCGAAGCUACGCGAAGAACCUUACCAGGUCUUGACAUACUAUGCAAAUCUAAGAGAUUAGACGUUCCCUUCGGGGACAUGGAUACAGGUGGUGCAUGGUUGUCGUCAGCUCGUGUCGUGAGAUGUUGGGUUAAGUCCCGCAACGAGCGCAACCCUUAUUAUCAGUUGCCAGCAUUAAGUUGGGCACUCUGGUGAGACUGCCGGUGACAAACCGGAGGAAGGUGGGGAUGACGUCAAAUCAUCAUGCCCCUUAUGACCUGGGCUACACACGUGCUACAAUGGAUGGUACAACGAGUUGCGAACUCGCGAGAGUAAGCUAAUCUCUUAAAGCCAUUCUCAGUUCGGAUUGUAGGCUGCAACUCGCCUACAUGAAGUCGGAAUCGCUAGUAAUCGCGGAUCAGCAGCC
rnacentral:rRNA from 1 species